GUCGAUAUGUUCGAGUGGUUAAGGAGACAGACUUAAAAUCUGUUGGGUUUUCACCCGCGCAAGUUCGAACCCUGUUGUUGACA